UGCUAGUGAGGUUACAAUGACAUAAACAGA
rnacentral:piRNA from 1 species